ACACACACACACACAUUGAAGUACAUGCGUGCCCAACGGAGUAGAAUUGCAUGAAGUGGAGUAGAGUAUAAUGCAGCCAAGGAUGACUUGCCGGAACGUUGUUAAUCAUACGUAUAAAUUAUGUGAUGAACAUAUUUCUGGCAAGUUGUCCUUCGGCUACAUUUUGCUCUCUUCUUCUCAUGCAAACUCUCUUUGGGAUAUUCUACUUUUUCAUUCUUUCUAAUUGACGAUGUGAAUCGGAAUAACAAGACGACGCUGGUAUUGAUCAGAACUCCAUCGACGGGGUAGAGACGGGCCUGGAUGAUUCUAACUUCUCGUUGGCUUGCAUUAACCUAAUCUAAACAAAAGUUCCGAAAGGUUACAACACACGGACCAAAGCGGAUGGGAACAUACGAAGCCAACACACUGUCGUUUUUGGCAUUCUCAUUCAUGAACCACUCGUAGGUUGUUUUCUUAGUGAUCAACUCAGAUGUAAUUUUACGUAAAAAUCAAGGAAAAAUAUAUAAAAGCGAUGAAGAAAAGAGAAAAGAAGCCGAAAUUUGUGGAAUAUGUUGAAAUGUGCGUUGUCGGUUUUUAGAAUCUAAGGUACUGUGAGCCGACAAAAGUAGAGAUGGAAUAAAGAUUUUGGUCAGGCAAUCAUAAAUAUCCAAAUCUUUGUGCAUUUAACAAUGACACUCAUCAUCACUUUCCUCUUUUAAUAUGUCUCAGCUUUUAGUUA